GCUUUCUCUGCCACACACUUCUCCCAUGGUUUACUGCCUCACUGCAGGCCAAAGGCCAAGAGACCGUGGACUGAAACACGAGCAACCAACCAUCAGCCACAUACAGUUCAGUGACCUCUAGAUGGGGAUAAAGUUUCCAACCAGUUUCUUUGCAUGGAAUAAAUGUCAUACGCGGUUUGUCCAUGACACAGAGCUCUGAAAAGCCAAGCAUGAGAUUGGAAGCCCGGCUUAGGAAAUACAGUUUAGAUCUCACUUGAAGUCUUAGGACAACACAGUUCAAGUGCCAAAUUCAAACAUCUUUGAGUUCUAAUUUAUUUACCGUGAAAAAAUGUAUACGUUCCUGUUUUUCAUUGCAAGGUAUGUGGUCAAUAACUUCCAUGAACUGAGCAAUGGAUUGAAUUUCCUCCAAUGACACCGAACAGCAGAAGCAACAACUGAACAAAUCUAGGAGGAGAAAUUUUGCUGGGGAAGAUCUUCUUGUAUUCCAAAACUUGGUUUUCCAAAAGCCAGGUGAUAACAGUUGUUCAAACAUGUGUGUUCCA